rnacentral:rRNA from 1 species
CCCGUCACAUCAUGAAAGCCGGUUGUACCCGAAGUCCGCAGGCAAACUCGCAAGAGGCGCAGCGGCCGAAGGUAUGGCUGGUGAUUGGGAUG